UUUGUCAGCGAUUAGGCAUGUUGCAGAACCAAAACUGCAAAAGUGACAAAGUAUUUCAUAGAAACACUUGCCGCUAUCUUGUGUGGUGAAAACCUGCAAAGUACAUAGAGUAAACAAAUUGGGCAAAAUACUGGUGGGAAUAGCGGUUCCAUCAGUAUUUU
ncrna:unclassified sequences FuFi-1 RNA